rnacentral:rRNA from 1 species
GACUACAGCCAUAUCACGCUGAACGUGACUGAUCUCAUCUGAUCUUGGAAGCUAGGUGGGGUUGGGCCUGGUUAGUACUUGGAUGGGACACUACAUUUU